AAUCCAUGGUGAGGACACCUUCUUAUCAUAUCCUUAUACCUCUCCCAAGCCUCAUAUAGUGACUCAUAAUCAAAUUGCAUGAAAGAAAUGAUAUCAUUCCGCAUCUU
rnacentral:snoRNA from 1 species